rnacentral:rRNA from 1 species
UGGGGAAUAUUGGGCAAUGGGGGAAACCCUGACCCAGCAACGCCGCGUGAAGGAAGAAGGUUUUCGGAUCGUAAACUUCUAUCCUUGGUGAAGAGAAGAAGACGGUAGCCAAGAAGGAAGCCCCGGCUAACUACGUGCCAGCAGCCGCGGUAAUACGUAGGGGGCAAGCGUUGUCCGGAAUGAUUGGGCGUAAAGGGCGCGUAGGCGGCCUGGUAAGUUUGGAGUGAAAGUCCUAUUUUUAAGGUGGGAAUUGCUUUGAAACGGUCAUGCUUGAAUCAUGGAGAGGGUAGCGGAAUUCCGAGUGUAGAGGUGAAAUUCGUAGAUAUUCGGAAGAACACCGGUGGCGAAGGCGGCUACCUGGCCAUGUAUUGACGCUCAGGUGCGAAAGCGUGGGGAGCAAACA